rnacentral:tRNA from 1 species
GUAUCGUACCCCCGUCGGUAGAGCAAAGGACUGAAAAUCUUUGUGUCACUGGUUCGAUCCCAGUUGGUACCA